GUGAGUAACACGUGGGUAACCUACCUAUAAGACUGGGAUAACUCCGGGAAACCGGRGCUAAUACCGGAUAAUAUUUUGAACCGCAUGGUUCAAAAGUGAAAGAUGGUUUUGCUAUCACUUAUAGAUGGACCCGCGCCGUAUUAGCUAGUUGGUAAGGUAACGGCUUACCAAGGCGACGAUACGUAGCCGACCUGAGAGGGUGAUCGGCCACACUGGAACUGAGACACGGUCCAGACUCCUACGGGAGGCAGCAGUAGGGAAUCUUCCGCAAUGGGCGAAAGCCUGACGGAGCAACGCCGCGUGAGUGAUGAAGGUCUUCGGAUCGUAAAACUCUGUUAUUAGGGAAGAACAUACGUGUAAGUAACUGUGCACGUCUUGACGGUACCUAAUCAGAAAGCCACGGCUAACUACGUGCCAGCAGCCGCGGUAAUACGUAGGUGGCAAGCGUUAUCCGGAAUUAUUGGGCGUAAAGCGCGCGUAGGCGGUUUUUUAAGUCUGAUGUGAAAGCCCACGGCUCAACCGUGGAGGGUCAUUGGAAACUGGAAAACUUGAGUGCAGAAGAGGAAAGUGGAAUUCCAUGUGUAGCGGUGAAAUGCGCAGAGAUAUGGAGGAACACCAGUGGCGAAGGCGACUUUCUGGUCUGUAACUGACGCUGAUGUGCGAAAGCGUGGGGAUCAAACAGGAUUAGAUACCCUGGUAGUCCACGCCGUAAACGAUGAGUGCUAAGUGUUAGGGGGUUUCCGCCCCUUAGUGCUGCAGCUAACGCACUAAGCACUCCGCCUGGGGAGUACGACCGCAAGGUUGAAACUCAAAGGAAUUGACGGGGACCCGCACAAGCGGUGGAGCAUGUGGUUUAAUUGGAAGCAACGGGAAGAACCUUACCAAAUCUGGACAUCCUUUGACAACUCUAGAGAUAGAGCUUUCCCCUUCGGGGGACAAAGUGACAGGUGGUGCAUGGUUGUCGUCAGCUCGUGUCGUGAGAUGUUGGGUUAAGUCCCGCAACGAGCGCAACCCUUAAGCUUAGUUGCCAUCAUUUAGUUGGGCACUCUAAGUUGACUGCCGGUGACAAACCGGAGGAAGGUGGGGAUGACGUCAAAUCAUCAUGCCCCUUAUGAUUUGGGCUACACACGUGCUACAAUGGACAAUACAAAGGGUAGCGAAACCGCGAGGUCAAGCAAAUCCCAUAAAGUUGUUCUCAGUUCGGAUUGUAGUCUGCAACUCGACUACAUGAAGCUGGAAUCGCUAGUAAUCGUAGAUCAGCAUGCUACGGUGAAUACGUUCCCGGGUCUUGUACACACCGCCCGUCACACCACGAGAGUUUGUAACACCCGAAGCCGGUGGAGUAACCAUUUGGAGCUAGCCGUCGAAGGUGG
rnacentral:rRNA from 1 species